rnacentral:rRNA from 1 species
AGAGUUUGAUCCUGGCUCAGAUUGAACGCUGGCGGCAGGCCUAACACAUGCAAGUCGAACGGUAGCACAGAGGAGCUUGCUCCUUGGGUGACGAGUGGCGGACGGGUGAGUAAUGUCUGGGAAACUGCCCGAUGGAGGGGGAUAACUACUGGAAACGGUAGCUAAUACCGCAUAACGUCGCGAGACCAAAGAGGGGGACCUUCGGGCCUCUUGCCAUCGGAUGUGCCCAGAUGGGAUUAGCUAGUAGGUGGGGUAACGGCUCACCUAGGCGACGAUCCCUAGCUGGUCUGAGAGGAUGACCAGCCACACUGGAACUGAGACACGGUCCAGACUCCUACGGGAGGCAGCAGUGGGGAAUAUUGCACAAUGGGCGCAAGCCUGAUGCAGCCAUGCCGCGUGUAUGAAGAAGGCCUUCGGGUUGUAAAGUACUUUCAGCGAGGAGGAAGGGGAUGUGGUUAAUAACCGCAUUCAUUGACGUUACUCGCAGAAGAAGCACCGGCUAACUCCGUGCCAGCAGCCGCGGUAAUACGGAGGGUGCAAGCGUUAAUCGGAAUUACUGGGCGUAAAGCGCACGCAGGCGGUCUGUCAAGUCGGAUGUGAAAUCCCCGGGCUCAACCUGGGAACUGCAUCCGAAACUGGCAGGCUAGAGUCUUGUAGAGGGGGGUAGAAUUCCAGGUGUAGCGGUGAAAUGCGUAGAGAUCUGGAGGAAUACCGGUGGCGGAGGCGGCCCCC